GUGCUUAUGGAAUAUGUUUCUAGGUGUAAUUUCUGAGGAUUAACUUACUACUGCUCUCCUGUCUCAAAAAUCUCCUCAGUGUGUUGAAGAAGAAAGGAGGCUCUGCAGGAAGGGAACUUCGCAUACUUUUGGCCCACAGCAACUGUUGAAAAGAGGAGGGAGAUCAUCCUCAGGGCAAUUGGUUUCUACCUGAUGAAGUCCCAAACAUCCUCUUCAAAGAAAACCCGGAUCUGAUGCUACAGCUGUUCCGAGGGAGCUUGGACAAGUUAUCUUUACAGCAUCCGUGUUGAGGGAGGUGAUGCCACCACUCCUCCAGCUGAUGUUGGGAUAGUCACCGAGGGUGCUGAAGUUCUGCAUGACUUGGGAGACAUCGCCCCUACACGUGCACUCUUAAUAGGUGUAAUUAUGCACUGAACCUCAGUUAUCCUCAGAACCUUAAAGCCUUCUUUGAGGUACUUCACAAGUGAUUCUUUUGCAAACCUUUCUACACUUUGUGUACUGUAUUAUUUUUUUCACCAAUUGCACCAAAAUGAUAAAGUCCAUAAAAAAAUUAAGUUGAAAUUGA